CAAACUUUUGGUUUCAAAUAUGAAACUGAAUUACGAGUUCCUUAUGGAGAGAAAUAUGAGAGUAUGAAUUACCACACCAAUUUAUUGAUGUUGGACAAGAUUAAUUAUUUACUCAGCCAUAACAAAAUAGGUUGUGCUUUCAUGGAAUUAGGCUAUGUGAAACUUUCCAAUAAAUGCAAGUAAAUUACGUCAUUUUUAUUAAAAUUUAAAUCAGAACAUGAUUACGAACAUAAAAACAUAGACUAAAUAUUUUGGUAUUUUACAC